rnacentral:rRNA from 1 species
UACGUAGGUGGCAAGCGUUGUCCGGAUUUAUUGGGUUUAAAGGGUGCGUAGGCGGUCUAUUAAGUCAGUUGUGAAAUACGGCAGCUCAACUGUCGAGGUGCAAUUGAUACUGAUGGACUUGAGUACUGAUGAGGUAAGCGGAAUGGACGGUGUAGCGGUGAAAUGCUUGGAUAUCGUCCAGAACACCGAUAGCGAAGGCAGCUUACUAAGGAGUAACUGACGCUGAGGCACGAAAGUGUGGGGAUCAAACAGG